AUGGGUGUGGUUGUCAAGUGUGUGGCGGCUUUGCAGGUGGAGGUGGCGCCAUGGUCUUCUUGUUGGGGCAGUGCUCUGCUGUUUGGUUGUCCGUUGCCUGACUUGUGGCUGUUUGCUCGCCGGCUCUCAGUGCCAUGGCAUGGACGGGAUGAAGAUAGGGUUCUUUCCCCGUUGGCAGCAACAGGGCAUGGAAGGCUUGAACUUGGUGCUGAUUCCAGCGGGUGCUGUCCUGCUAUCUGCAUUGGCUGCCUUGGAUCCUCUGCUUGCAAGUUCUUCUUCAACCUCGCUCAACAACAGCUUCUCUUCCUUGGGUGUGGGUUAUUGUGUCUUGAUGAGGCUCUUCGUUUGGUGUUCUUAGCGCAGCAGGUGGGUCGUGCUGAGAAUCUCCCAUGGUGA
rnacentral:rRNA from 1 species